GGGACUAUUAGCCAUGCCCUGCGGGAGAACUGUCCAAUGAUAUCUUUUCAUGGGUUCCUUGAAAUUUACAGAAGGAACACUAAAAGCAAAUCUCUCACAAUCCUUUGGAUGCAAAGGGAUGGUAAAGAAACAAUCUUUCAAAUCUAUAACAAUCUUAUAAUAUCCCUUAGGAAUGGCUACUGGGGAGGGGAGCCCCGGUUGUAAAGUUCCCAUAAGUACCAUGGUUUCAUUAACCUUUCUUAAAUCUUGCAACAGUCUCCAUUUUCCCGAUUUCUUCCUGAUAAUGAAAAUGGGUGUAUUCCAGGGAGAGUGAGACUCCACCAAAUGUCCUGCUUCUAACUGCUCCUGCACUAGCAAAGAAGCGGCCUCUAUUUUCUCUUUAGGUAAAGACCACUGAUCUACCCACACCGGAAUAUCAUUACGCCAUUGAAUUUUUUUGGCGUGGGAUGCAGGCAAGACAGUGGCCGCUACUGAAAAUACUUUAAACCUCUCACGUUAGAGUGGGGUUUAAGAUCCUCAAAAGUCUUAAUUUUCUGUCCCUUCUUUAUUAGUCCACGAUCAGGCAGGGGUCCCUGCCUGAACGUCUGUUCAGUCACCAUCUCCUUAGAACUGCACAGGAUAACGCCCAUCUGUGACAACAGAUCUCUUCCCCACAGGGUUACAGGCAAAUUUGGCAUAACAUACGGCUGAAUAUUUCCUGAUUUUCCAUCCUCAUCUCUCCAGGUUAGCAAUUUGGAACUACGUUUUGGGUUACUGGCAUAACCAAUUCCUUGAAGGUGAGUCAAGGAAACAGACAGGGGCCAGUUUGAGGGCCAGUCCUGCCCUCUAAUAAUCGUUACAUCGGCCCCGGUAUCUAUUAAUCCUUCAAAGCUUUUUCCAUCAAGAAUCAAUUUAAGGUUAGGUCUCUGAUUGGUGAUAGAUUUCACCCAAUUUACGCCAGAGGAGUCAAAGUUAUUCUGUCCUUCUUCAUUUUCAAAGAAUUUAGAUAGUGACCAGCACAAAGGGAUCAAAGUAAGUUGAGCAAUUUUCUGAUUAGCGGGUAUAGUUAUAGCACCACGAGGGCAAGCGGCUAUGAUUUUAAUUUCUCCCUCAUAAUCAUUACUUAUAACACCUGGAUAAAUCUGCAGGCCUUCUACAAUAGAACUGCUUCGUCCUAAGAGAAAACCACAGGUUCCUACAGGUAGUGGUCCAAAAACUCCGGUAGGCAGAGUUUGGACUCCCACUUCUGGGGUUAAUGCUGCAUGGACAGUGGAACAGAGGUCCAGUCUUGCAUUUCCUGGGUUUGACCUGACAAGCUCAAGAACUGAUCUUGUUGGCUGGGCAGCAGAUUUAUAGCCCCAUAAGCUGUCUUCUUUGAGUAACUCGGGGCCUGGGGCUGACCCCUUUCCUCGUUUCCCGGCACCGGGCGGCUCAAAACCCUCGUUUUAUGCUUACAAUCUUUUGCCCAGUGGCGGCCCUUCCCACACCGGGGACAUAUUCCUGGGGCACGGCCUGUUUGUCUAACCUCGGCACCCUUGUUCUGAGGACAAUCAAUUCUAAAAUGAUCUAAACUUCCACACUUAAAGCAUACAUUUUUCCCUCGUUUCCUUGAGAACAUUGCCUGCGCGUGGGUUCCCUGCAAGGUCUCGCAGGAAGGCCCGAUGUCUGCGCAAAGGCGGACAUAUCCCGCCAAAUCUGUCGUUCCCUUAUGCGGUUGAAUCGCAGCUCGGCAAAUUGCAUUAGCAUUCUCAUAAGCCAAUUGCAUAACGAAAGGACUUCCCGUGUCCGGAUUCCCAAGGAUUCUACUAGCUGAAAUCAAUAGCCUGUCCACAAAAUCCUGAUAUGGUUCAUCAGAACUCUGCCGAAUGCUAGCUAAACUUCCACCAAUCUCUCCUUUGACUGGCAACCUUCCCCAAGCACGGCGUGCGGCCGUCGCAAUUUGCACGUACACUGCAACGGGAAAAUCAAUCUGAUUUGUCUGUCCCUUAUAAGGGCCCUCUCCUAAAAGCAUGUUGCUAUCCCAGUCUGAAUUACCAGCCUGAGCGUUAGAAGCAGCAGUUUUCUUACUGGCGUCUCGCCAUUCAGAAUCCCAAAGCAAAAAAUCUCCUCCUGACAGGGUAGCCUUAGAAAGAGUCUUCCAAUCUAAAGGGGUUAAGUGUGACUCCACAACUGUGUCCAGUAAUGCUUGAGUGAAUGGGGCUGAAGGGCCAUAUUGCACAACAGCCGCCUUUAACUCUUUUAUCAACUUGAAAUCUAAGGUCUGGUAAUGUCUGCCCCUAGUAUCUUGCUGAUCAACUACCUCGACCACCGGAAAGGCUAGCGUAUUAGACAUAUUCUGUCCUUUCCCACGAGCCUGACUCACAACCUUUUCUAGCAGCACCUGGUGAACUACAGAAGAGUUACUCUUCUCCGCUUCUGACAUCUUUUUUAGUUCCCGAAGCUCAUUAGUCAGCCUCUGAAGCUUAAUCUCAAACUCUAACUUGCUUAGUCGUGUGUCCCUAUGAGUGGCACCUCCCGAAGUGGGGACUACAGGUGGAGCGGGAGAUUCACAAGAGGACCAAUUCUCAUUAAGGUAAUGGGCAGCUCCUCUAUCUGAGAGAUUUUUGUUAAAAAUCAGUUUUUCAUCCGAGUUCCCACAUUUAUCAAUUUUUGAGUUAAUAAGAUCUUUUCUGAGGAGGCCCUCUCUGACAGGCACUCCUCCUGAGAUACCACAAGCUCCGCCUGGGGGCAACUUAGCCCUGGAGAAGUGGCAUCUUUUAUUGCAUCAUUUACGAGCGCCCAGAGGCCUAGGGUAAAAUUAUCUGCCUGAGUGAUUUUUAAGGCCUCACCAACUUUCUCCCAGGUUCCACAAUCUAGUGUUUCUUCUUCCUUGAACCAUGGGCAACAGCUAUCUAUCUUACCUAAAAAAUUUUUUACUAAUUGUACUUCAAGCCUUACUCCUCUGGCCUGAAACAACUCCUGAAAACUAUGGGCAACCGCCUGAUCCAUGACUUUAAACCCUUUCUUCUUCCACCUAAGCAGCUUCCUAAAAAGCUGCGGCUAACCUGCCUGUUUCCGUUUCUAGUUCCGAUUAACACGCUGCUGACCCAAGCAGAACCAGCGUUGGGUUAGCACUGAUUCAAGCUUAAUUCGUAUCCUACUGCAUCCUCAGCAACACUUUACAAAACUGAAAUUUUAAGCUAGCGCUAGCAUGUGUACCUGUCUGUUGCUCCUAUGUCCAAUACGAAGAUCCUUUCCUGUGGAGCUCCAAUGCAGCGUUCCUCUUAGCAUCUCUCUGCCAUUCUUCAGGUCCCAGUUCUGGCGCCAAAAUGUUGCGGCCGCCAGAAGCUCACAACGUGAACGGUUCGACUGAGAAGGCCGCUCGAGCUGUAAGAGAGGAAUCUAGUCGGGGCGGAAGAAAAAACGGAGCUAAGACAAUUUCAUUCUGAUCAAAGCUCAAAUUUUAUUGUUGGGACACUAGUUAUGAAGGAAGGGGGAGGGGACCCGAUUCCCGCCGAAUAAUCUCGGGUCCAGUAGAAAGGUGCACGUGUGUGGCUCCACAGGUUCCAGCAGUGGGCGUGGCAGAACGAAUGAGCAGGAAGCUCCACCCCGAGCAAGCAGGUUUCAGGCUGGGGGAGGAGAGACUACAAAUCACGAGUUAAUUAUGGUUUCUAAAACCACAAGUUGAAUUCAUUGAUCUCCAGUUGGCAGACAGAGAACACGAGGAGGAACCCAGCUUCUGACCUAUUCUCAGGCACAGAACGUUAGUAGGUUAGAAGAGGGUGCAGCUUUUCUACUCACUAAAAUAUAAUCUCUGUCGAGUCCUUUCAGGUAGCUAAGGCCCUCUUGAGGAAGAAGAGAAGCAGGGACCUGGAGGGAACUUGAGUGUGGAAGACAUUGAGCACGUGAUGGAGGAGGAAGCCCGCGCAGCACACCUGCAGAGUCAGGACUGAGACUCUUCACACAGAACCCAGGCAAACAGUGGGACUUAGGAAGCAGUGCUUAGACCCUGGUGCUGUGCUUUAGCAGUGAGGAAUUCCUUUGUAUCCUGAGAUGCAAUGCUGACAGUUUGUGAUGAGCAAUGAGGAGGGAGCUAAAGUCUCGGUUGUGUUUUGAGUACCCAGGUUGGGAGCUCACUGAAGAAGUUGGGACAGACACUGGAUGAUAAGUUCUUCCCUUAACAGAUUGAGGC
rnacentral:lncRNA from 1 species